AAUUCAGGUCAGUUUCAGAUGUGUUUGACUUCUUUGCCUGCUCCAGAGGGGUGUUCUGGGGCUGCAGUGAGGGUAUCGGUGAACCACCUGCUGGCCUUGAAUGAUUGCUGGUGACAGUGAUAGAAGGUAAUGCCCCAAGGGUCUGUCCCUAGUUUAUUUGCCUUCUUUAUGUCUGUCAACCAUCUUUAGGAGAGUCCUUUUGGCUCCAGUGCAUGGUAAACUGGAAAGGCCUUGUGCUACCUGCUGUCACUCCAAGUCUCUUUCUUUUCGGUUAUAGGAAAGAUGGGGUUCCAAUAGGAUACAAAGGAAGCACCUUCCACAGGGUCAUAAAGGAUUUCAUGAUUCAGGGUGGAGAUUUUGUUAAUGUAAGUACUAUUCCUUUCCUAUCAAAGACCCGUAGUUUUAGUUUUUGUUGU
rnacentral:lncRNA from 1 species